rnacentral:tRNA from 1 species
GGGCGCUUAGCUCAGUUGGUUUAGAGCGUCGCCCUUACAAGGCGAAGGUCAUCCGUUCGAGCCGGAUAGCGCCCA